rnacentral:rRNA from 1 species
UACGUAGGGCGCAAGCGUUGUCCGGAAUUAUUGGGCGUAAAGAGCUCGUAGGCGGUUUGUCGCGUCUGCUGUGAAAACCUAAGGCUCAACCUUGGGCUUGCAGUGGGUACGGGCAGACUAGAGUGGCGGUAGGGGUGACUGGAAUUCCUGGUGUAGCGGUGAAAUGCGUAGACUAUCUGACAGGAACACCCGUGGCGAAGGCGGCUCCGCUGGACCGCA